UACGUAGGGUGCGAGCGUUGUCCGGAAUUACUGGGCGUAAAGAGCUCGUAGGUGGUUUGUCGCGUUGUUCGUGAAAACCUGAGGCUUAACCUUGGGCGUGCGGGCGAUACGGGCAGACUAGAGUACUGCAGGGGAGACUGGAAUUCCUGGUGUAGCGGUGGAAUGCGCAGAUAUCAGGAGGAACACCGGUGGCGAAGGCGGGUCUCUGGGCAGUAACUGACGCUGAGGAGCGAAAGCGUGGGGAGCGAACAGG
rnacentral:rRNA from 1 species